rnacentral:sRNA from 1 species
CGCAUCAUCGCAUGUCCGCAUCUCCAAAAUCCUUGGGAUAAUUGAUACAAACUCAGAGGAGGAGGUUUGGUCCCUGCAUGUGCAUAUAUUUUAUGUAUAUACUAUUGCGCGAUAAACACUGCGUGGUAAGCUAGGCGUAAAUAUACACAUACACGAAAAACUCAAAAGAGGUACCUUCCAGGGCUUCAAGAGAAAAAUAAAUAAAUAUAUAUAUAUAUAUAAUAUAUAUACCUAAAAGAGAAAAAAAGAAGAAGAAAAAAAUCAAAUCAUGCGUGCUCGUUUUCCCUGACAGCCACAGUCGCUCCGGCCUUCUCACCCGUCUCUGCCUCCAAGCCCACCAGGUCCAGCGCAUUCAUCGCGUCCUCGUGGUCAUUCAGCUUGUGGAACGUGAGCCAGAAAAUGAUGCCGGCACUGAACGACGCGCCGCACAGGCCCACAAACAUCCACAAGAUGGCGGGGUCGUACACGGCCGGGAGCAGGGCCUCGCCGAGCGCGGAGCCAAACGCGUUGGUCAGCAGGUACAUCGACUGCACGAAGCUCUUCAUGGAGGGCGGCGCCUUGGUGUACGCGUACUCGAGGCCGGAGACGCUGGCGAAGAUCUCGGAGAUGCCGAUGAAGACGUAUGCUGGCGUCUGGAUGCCGAUGUGCACGCGGUUGCCGCGCGCGACGCCGUCGACGAUCGACAGAUCGCAGUGCGGGUGCUCGUAGCAUGGACCUGCGGAGUAGAUGAGGUGCUGGACGAUGGCGGCGUACAUCAUUGCCAAUGAGCCGACGAUGAAGCCGAGGGUGAUGCGGCUGAUGGGGCGGAAUGGGAUAUGCAGCCGCUGCAGAAUGGGGUAUACGAGGCGGUCAAGGAUCGGGAUGAAGACGAUGAUGGAGAUCGCGUCGAAGUUUUGCAUGAGAUCAUUUGGAAUGCCAUGUCCUUCCAUUUGGCCAGCUGCACAAGAUGGGAUAGAAUGUGAACACCCGGCAAGCAACGAGGGCGCGCUUGAGUUCGUCGAUAAAGUGGUCGUUCCAAGGGAACGUCUGGCCGCCACCAUGCUCCAACUGGAAGGAGUUUUUGGGCGCGUCCAUGUUCCGGUUCUUAACCAUGACCCAGAUAGCCCUGAACGCAUCGGUGAUGACCGAUCCAGUUGGCGGGCGGACGAUGUAGAAUUUACGCCCGAGGAUCAGGACAGAGGUUCCAACAAGGAAGACACAGAGCGUGAGAAGAAAUGCGGACCAGAAGCCAACAUCUCUUUCCAUGUACGGAGUGGCCAGAAGGGAGAGCGAGCCGAUGUUGAUGCAAGCGUAGAAAAUCAUGUAGAUCCGUUGGAUGGUCAGGGCGGGAUCAAUGAUGACACGCUGACCCUUCUUGGUGGUCUUGAUGGCCAUCUUCUUGCGCUUGUAUUGGUCCGCGAUUAGGGGGGCCACGUUCGAUUUGAUGCCACCAGUGCCGAUGCCGAUGAUGAUGAUCGCAGUGACACAGCCGCCCAGGCCAGCACCAUGUGCAAGUGAAGGCGGGAGCGAUGUCAGAAGCAGGAUGACGAGACCGAUGAUAUAUACUAUGCAGAACCAGAAGAUGGCCAUAUAUUUCCCCAGGUAUUGAUCCGCAACGAUAGCACCAAAGAUAGGGGUUACUGAACACACAACACACGGAUCCCCUCAGCAUACAAUGAUCACCAUCACCUAAGCAGAUCGUAGGGUCACUUACCGUAGCACCAGAAUUGGAAAAAGGUGGUUAGACCAGUUGCACCCUGGUGACCCAGGCCUAGAGGUAAAAUAAAAUAAAAACGUCAAUGACAACUCUUCAUCGCGAUUUUUUUUUUCAGACAAGACAUAUAUGGAGGAGAAAAAAAGUAUGUCAAUCAAUCAUACCAAGAGCUCCUCGACCCAGACUGCCAUCAAGAGGCCGCUGUAUGUAAUUCUGGAACAGGCCAUUCAUUCCAUAGUACGUGAAACGCUCUGAGAGCUCAACCAUGGCAACCAACCAUGCCGAC